CAGAUGAAAAAGUUGAAUGAAAACACUGUUUUAUGUUCUUUCUCUCCAGAUGACUGACUUUUGCUAUCUUGGUACCUAUAUCUGGCCCCAUUCCACUCUUUUCUUGCACAGGAACAUUUGCGAAUUCAUCAGUUCUUGUUCUGUACUCUGUAUCACAGGAAUUAUGUGGGUAAAUCUUUUUUUGAAGGAAAGUUGAAGUUACUCAGAAAGUCUGUUUAAAGAAAUACAUUUCAGGGUAUUUGUGAAUAAACAACCACCUAUCUCAAUAUUCUGUUUGUAUAUAUUAAAUAUAAGUGUGAAAAAUUACAAUUUAGCUCCUAUAAUAAUUAAUAUGAAAAGGUAACUAUUCGAAAGUGAAAAUGGCCUAUGCAUAUUAAAAAUUUCAAAUGAGCAAAUANAGAUUGGAGGAAUAUUUUUGCAUAUAAGAUGUAUAUGCUUUAUGAUCAACCUCAAUAUAAAAGACAAAUUACCAGAAUAUUUAAAAAUGUUGUUUGAAAAGUGUUUUCCCAAGGAAAGUGAAUUAUUCACUGGGGUUUCAAAAACUACUUUCACUGAAAUUUUUUAUUGAGUCUAAACAGUUAAGAAGGGAUCUAUAACUUUAUUACCUUUAUUUUACUGGUGACUGGAAAUAUUUCUAUUGUGUUUCUGUGUAUAUUUUUAAUAAAUUAUUUUUGGCCUUUUAUGAAGACAAAUCUUAUUAAAUUUGAAACAUUUUGUGUAUUUUCUUUUUCAGAAAAAGUUCUGUGGUCUUUAGUUUUGUUUUAAAAAUCUGUCACUUAUACGUUCCAAUUUGAAAUGUCAUCUACGUUCUCCUUAUGUUUUAGUGUGAGCGAUGAAGAGGACUUUUGAUGAAUUAAUUAAAUUUCCUUGAUUUUAAAUUAAAAUAUUCAAAAUUAAAAAGUACCUUGUAAGGACAAAGAACUGGACUGGCUUUCCUACUCUCUUUUAAAUGAACUGUUCAUCAUGUGGAAGCGUGAGUCGAGUAUAAUAGAGGAAAAUCAGUAUUUGCUAAAUGAGAGAAACAAACCCCAAACACAGCCGCCGCCUCAGUGCCCAGGAGUGCUCAUCACCAAAAUAAGAAAACCUAAAAGAAAAUGGUGUCCAGAUCAGUGCAUGGAUAAGGUCCAGUGUGAAUUUAGGGGUCCACUGAACUGGUAAGUAACACAGAUACGCAAGCAGUCAAGUAGCCAGUUCCUCUCCCUAUCCCCCAGUGUUAAAAAAAAAAAAAUACAA
rnacentral:lncRNA from 1 species